rnacentral:rRNA from 1 species
AGUGAACGAUGGCGGCGUGUCUAAUACAUGCAAGUAGAAUGGAGUGGCGCACGGGUGAGUAAUGUAUAGCUAAUCUGCCCUACACUAGAGGACAACAGUUGGAAACGACUGCUAAUACUCUAUAGUGUAGGAUGAGGCUAUUUUGUAUCAGCCAGUUCGUGAGGUAAUGGCUCACUAAGGCUAUGACGCAUAACUGGUCUGAGAGGAGGAUCAGUCACACUGGAACUGAGACACGGUCCAGACUCCUAAGGGAGGCAGCAGUAGGGAAGAUUGAUCAAUGGGGGAAACCCUGAAGCAGCAACGCCGCGUGGAGGAGGACACUUGUCGGAGCGUAAACUCCUGUUGUUAGGGAAGCGGUACCUAACGAAUAAGCACCGGCUAACUCCGUGCCAGCAGCCGCGGUAAUUC